rnacentral:rRNA from 1 species
CAGAGGGUGCAAACGUUGCUCGGAAUCACUGGGCGUAAAGGGCGUGUAGGCGGAUAGAUAAGUCGGGCGUGAAAUCCCCAGGCUCAACCUGGGAACUGCACUCGAAACUGUUUAUCUUGAGUGCCGGAGAGGAAAGCGGAAUUCCUGGUGUAGAGGUGAAAUUCGUAGAUAUCAGGAGGAACACCAGUGGCGAAGGCGGCUUUCUGGACGGUAACUGACGCUGAGACGCGAAAGCGUGGGGAGCAAACAGGAUUAGACACCCUGGUAGUCCACGCCGUAAACGAUGAGUGCUAGGUGUCGUGGGUAUUGACCCCCGCGGUGCCGAAGCUAACGCAUUAAGCACUCCGCCUGGGAAGUACGGUCGCAAGACUA